rnacentral:lncRNA from 1 species
GCUGCCACCUCUGGAGGAGCUGAAAAAUAUUGCCAAAAACUAAGAGUCACUCUAAUAUGGAAAGGAGGACAGUCGGGAGUUGGGAGGCAACACAUUUGACUUUUGCUUAAGAAGGAUCUUGCAGAAAGUGAAGAAGAGCAGGAAGGGAUAAGGCAUUUGAAUGAAGACUGAUGUUCUCUUCUUUGGUCUGAGGAUUUAGGACACAUUCACUGCCUGAUCACUGUGGCCCAGAAGCCACAGCCACUGCUGAGAGAUAGAGGCCCCAUGUUCCCUGUACACAUCUUUCCCCAACCCUCUCUGAGGCUUCUGUGUUCACAGAAGCAGGUCUGGUGCUCAAAAGGAUAACUUUCUACCAUACAAAAAAAAGUUUUUUUCAUUUUGAGCAGGACAUCACUUCUGAUUUUCCUACCUUUGACAUGGACUAGACUAAUUAACAAAUUCUGGAGGGGAGACACUUCCAAACAUCUCUGACAUUCUGGCUUCACAAAGGUUAGGAGAGCUGUUAUGGAGAGGAUGGAGCCUUUUUCCUCUUCCUGGGAAAGUCUGAAGAAGAAAGGGGCUACUGAGAAGUCUAAUAGAUUCAGCAGUCUAAUACAUAUUGUGUUUAAAUAGACAUCUUUUGGUAACCUGAGGUAGGGAUGGUGUGUUAGGCCAUUCUUUCUUGCUAUGGAGAAAUAUCUGAGACUGGGUAAUUUAUAAAGAAAAGAGGUUUGAUUGGCUCAAGGUUCUGCAGGCUGUACAGGAAGCAUAAUGACAUCUGCUUCUGGGGAGGCCUCUGGAAGCUUCCUAUGAUGGUGGAAGGUGGAGAGGGAGCUUGCACAUCACAUGGCAAAAGCAAGAGGAAGAGAGAGGUGGGGAGGUGCCACACACUUUUAAAAGACCAGAGCUCAUGAAAACACACUCACUAUUGUGAGGACAGCACCAAGAGGAUGGUGCUAAACUAUUCAUGAGAAAUCCUCCCCCAUGAUCCAGUCACCUCCCACCAGGCCCCACCUCCAACACUGGGGAUUACAUUUCUACAAGAGAUUUGGGUGGAAACACACCCAAACUAUAUCAGGUCUAGAGGUCAGCAUCAGGGAAUCCAGAGAUUCCAAGCACAAGAAAGAUUUGACGCCUCCUUGGGGACUUGGAGAUGGAAGGGGCCAUGAGGCAAGGAAUAUAGACAACUGUAAAGGUGAAAGUGAUUGACAGCCAAUAAGGAAAGAGGUACGAACCUCCAGGCUACAACCUCAAGGGACAGAAUUCGGCCAACGGCCCGAAUAAGUUUAGAAAUGGAUUUUUCCUCAGUCUCCAAAUAAGAGCCCAUUCUGGCCUCUGCACCAGUGAAAAUAGUAAUAAUCUCUGUCUCAAAAUGACAGGUGAGUCUAAGCAGGUGACCCAGACACAUGCUGCUGGUCUUCUGAGCUCCAGGAGAAAUGCACAUUGAAGCUGCUAAGCUUGUGGCAGGCAAUAUGUUACUCAGCAACAGAAAAUUAAUACACUUGGUAUAGAAUAUUCAUUGUGAGUUUAGGAAUUUUUGAGCUCUAUAAACAGGGAACACUUUUAUCUUACUCUCACUCCCAACUCAUUUCCCAGAUGCAUUAUCACUUCAGAACAUUCUGCAGGGUAUUGGCAAUGAUUUUUCUCCUUUAGAGAUCCUUUAUUAAGUUAGAGAAGAAAUAGUGGUCAUAAUAAUAAUAAAUAGAUAACAUUCAGAGAGCAUUUAUCAUGUGUUAGCAUUUUGCUAAACACUUUAUCUGCAUUCUCCCAUAUAAUUCCCAGAAUGGUCAUUUUAAGACAGAAAUUAUUACUAUUUUCAUUUUGUGUUUUAGGGAUUAGAGAAUUGCAGACAUGUAUAAAUCUUUAUAUAUAAACCUGUGAUAUUGUGAUAUAAUGGGAAAUAUAUAUUUUGUCUCUGCCCCUGGUUCCUGGCACAAAGCUGCUAAAACUUUUGCAGUUUCCUAAUAGGGGUGCUAGGUAUAUCUUUGGUUCUAAUAUUUGGCAAUUGAUUCCAGUUCCUGACGUGGUACUCCUAAUCCCUUAGAAUGUCCUGAGUGGUACAUGUGUCUCUUGUUCUAAGGAAGUGACUUUUGAUAAACUACUGGAUUGGGGUUGAUCACAAGAAAGACCAAGCAAUGAUUAGAAGCUUGGAACUUUCAGGCUCAGCCCCUAUCCUCCAGGAAGCAGAGAGGGGCUGGAGAUUAAGUUAAGAAUCAAUCUAGCCUAUGUGAUGAAUUCCCUGAGUUUAGAGAGAUGCAAGGUUGCUAAACAUGUGGAGGUGCUAGGAGGGUGGUACCCUGGAGAGAUCAUGGAAGUGCCCAUUUCCCCAUACCUUGCCCUAUACAUCUCAUCCAUCUGAUUGUUAGUCUGUAUCCUUAGUAAUAUUUUUUCUGAUAAAAUGGCAAGAAUAAGUACAGUGUUUCCCUGAAUCCUAUGAGCCACUCUAGCUAAUUAAGCAAACCUGAGGGGUUCUGGGAGCCACCAAUUCAUAGCCAGUCAGUCAGAAGUUCUAGAGGCCUGUAGUUGUGAUUAGCAUCUGGAGUGGGGGGCAGUCUUGUGGUGCUGAGCCCUCACCCUGUGAGAUCUGACUUCAACUCCAGGUAGAUAUUGUCAGAAUAAAGUUAAAUUGUAGGACACCCCAUUGGUGUCCACUGGAGAAUUGUUUGCUGUGUAGGGGGGAAAAAUCCCAAAAAUCUGGUGUCAAAAGUGUUUUAUGUUUUGUUGAGAAUAUAUUAGAAGAAAACAGUUGCUUAGUUCAUUUGUUGUUUGUUUGUUUACUACCAUAUAGAACCAAAAUCCAAAUCUGUCUGAUCAUAAGCCCAUUUGCCUGGUGGAAAGUUGUGGAUGGUGCUCAGAGUUCACUGUUCUCUCUCCAUUUCAUAUGCUCAGGUGUGUUGCUGAACAUAAGAUGCUGGGAAACUGAAAGGAAUACAUAAGAGAGAUAGCAACAAUUAAAAAAUGCAGAAUAAGGUUGCUUUGAAAUGAAAGUUGACAACCAAUGAAAUAGAUUUCUUAAAAAUUAUUUUUCAUAGAAGAACAGAUAAUGGAAUUACAUACUUAAAUAAUUGUCUGGGCUUGGUUUACUGAGAUUUGUCAACUGUAGUUUGUAUUUUUUAUUUAAAAAUCUAUCAGGGAAGUUUAUUUGAGGUACAUUAAGAACCAACUACGUAAAUAGAAAUUACAGACUCCCUCAAGAGGGACAUAAUCACCUGAUUCUUUUUAUUAAAUUCCGGUAGCAUAAAGAUUUAGAAAGCCAAGAAAUAAAUUCUGUAGGACAAAGUAGGUCAUAUCUAUUCUAUAACCAUUAAGAAUUAUUGACAACUAUUAUCAACUAUGAGCAACAGGGUUAUGAAUCUCAGGCCAAGUAUAAAGAGCUCACUCCAAAGCAGCACUGUCCAACAGAAAUGUAACACAGGAUGCAUAUGUAAUUAUAAAUUUUCUAGUAACCACAUUACAAAAGCAAAAUGAAACGGGUGAAAUAAAUUUUAAUACUAUAUCUAAUUUAACUCAAUACAUCCAAAAUACUAUCAUUUCAACAUGUAAUUAACAUAAAAAUGUUGAGAUAUUUUGUAUUCUUUUUCAUACUGUGUUCAAAAUUUAGUGUGUAUUUUAUAUUUAAUAAUAUUUCAGUUUAAACUAACCACUUUUUUUUUCUUUUCUGUAACUUUUUAAUUUAAUUCUAUUUUAAUUACUUUAAGUUCUGGGAUACAUGUGGUGAACAUUCAGGUUUGUUACAUAAGUAUACAUGUGCCAUGGUGGUUUGCUACACCUAGCAACCCAUCAUCAAGGUUUUGAGCCCUGCAUGCAUAAGAUAUUUGUCCUAAUGCUCUCCCUCCCCUUUCCCCUCAUCCCCCAACAGGCCCCAGUGUGUGAUGUUCCCCUCCCCGUGUCCAUGUGUUCUCACUGUUCAACUCCCACUUAUGAGUGAGAACAUUCGGUGUUUGGUUUUUCUCUUCCUGUGUUAAUUUGCUGAGAAUGAUGGUUUCCAGCUUCAUCCAUGUCCCUGCAAAGGACAUGAACUCAUUCUUUUUUAUGGCUGCAUAGUAUUCCAUUGUAUAUAUAUGUGCCACAUUUUCUUUAUCCAGUCUGUUAUUGAUAAAAAUUUGAGUUGGUUCCAACUCUUUACUAUUGUAAAUAGUGCUACAAUAAACAUAUAUGUGCAUAUGUCUUUAUAAUAGAAUGCUUUGUAAUCCUUUGGGUAUAUACCCAAUAAUAGGAUUGCUGGGUCAAAUGGUAUGUCUGGUUCUAGAUCCUUGAGAAAUCUCCACACUGUCUACCACAAUGGUUGAACUAAUUUACACUCCCACCAACAGUGUAAAAGCAUUCCUAUUUUUCUGCAUCCUCGCCAGAUCUGUGGUUUCCAGACUUAUUUAUUUAUUUAUUUUUUUUUUGAGACAGAGUCUUGUUCUAUCUCCCAGGCUGGAGGGCAAUGGCACAAUCUUGGCUCACUGCAACCGCUGCCCCCAGGCUCAAGUGAUUCUUCUACCUCAGCCUCUCGAGUAGCUGGGACUACAAGUACAUACCACUAUGCCAGGCUAAAUUUUUGUAUUUUUAGUAGUGACAGGGUUUCACUGUGUUAGCCAGGAUGAUCUCAAUCUCCUCACCUGUAAUCUGUCCACCUCGGUCUCCCAAAGUGUUGGGGCUAUAGGCAUGAGCCACCAUGCGCAGACAUUUCUAGACUUUUUAACGAUCACCAUUCUAACUGGUGUGAGAUGGUAUCUCGUUUUGAUUUGCAUUUCUCUAAUGACUAGUGAUGAUGAGUUUUUCAUGUUUGUUGGUCACAUAAAUGUCUUCUUUUGAGAAAUGUCUGUUCACAUCCUUCACCCACUUUUUAAUGGGGUUGUUUUUUUCUUGUAAAUUUGUAAAUUUGGUGCCAGUACCAGUACAAGUUCCUUGUAGAUUCUGGAUAUUAGACCCUUGUCAGAUGGAGAGAUUGCAAAAAUCUUCUCCCAUUCUGUAGAUUGCCUGUUCACUCUGAUGAUAGUUUCUUUGAGCAGAAGCUCUUUAGUUUAAUUAGAUCCCAUUUGUCAAUUUUGGUUUUUGUUGCCAUUGCUUUUGGUGUUUUAGUCAUGUAGUCUUUGCCCAUGCCUAUGUCCUGAAUGGUAUUACCUAGGUUUUCUUCUAGGAUUUUUGUGGUUUUAGAUUUUAUGUUUAAGUCUUUAAUCCAUCUUGAGUUAAUUUCUGUAUAAGAUGUAAGGAAGAAGUCCAGUUUCGGUUUUCUGCGUAUAGCUAGCGAGUUUUCCCAGCACCAUUUAUUAAAUAGGGAACCCUUUCCCCAUUGUUUGUUUUUGUCUGGUUUAUAGAAGAUCAGAUGGUUGUAGAUGCGUAUUAUUAUUUCUGAGGCCUCUGUUCUGUUUUAUUGGUCUAUACAUCUGUUUUUGGUGCCAGUACCAUGCUGCCUUGGUUACUAUAGCCUUGUCAU